CCAUCUACACACAGAAGGCUGGUGCCUCUCCACCACAUCCAUUCCAGCCAGAUCUGACUAUAUGCUGCUGCUUAUGACACCUAAGGCUUGUCUGCACAGGGAAAUUGACCAGUAUAACUGCCCAUGUGGACACUCUAUUCUAGACUAAAGGAUAGAAGCGGUUUGACAGAUUGAGAAUUGAAGAUUCCUGUAAAUUUGUAGUUGGGGUGCUUAGAGCAUGAUUUUGAAUAUUAAUGGACAAUCAGACUGAGGAUCAAACAACCAGGAGAUGUGAACAAGUCUGAUUAACACUGAGGCUCAUCCACUUUAAACAUAUCACUAAACAGCACGCAGUUAUCAAGCACUGUUUGUGUUCUUAUAUUCACAAAU